rnacentral:misc_RNA from 1 species
GAUGAAGAACGUAGUGAAAUGCGAUAAGUAGUGUGAAUUGCAGAAUUCAGUGAAUCAUCGAAUCUUUGAACGCACAUUGCGCCCCUUGGUAUUCCAUGGGGCAUGCCUGUUCGAGCGUCAUUUGUACCUUCAAGCUUUGCUUGGUGUUGGGUGUUUGUCUCGCCUUUGCGUGUAGACUCGCCUUAAAAUAAUUGGCAGCCGGCGUAUUGAUUUCGGAGCGCAGUACAUCUCGCGCUUUGCACUCAUAACGACAGCGUCCAAAAGUACAUUUUACACUCUUGACCUCGGAUCAGGUAGGGAUACCCGCUGAACUUAAGCAUACAAUAAGCGGAGGA